AGGUUAUAUUUUCUCUCACAGGAGAGUGUUUUCGAUUAUAAGGUAAUUGUUUAAUUGAGAUCUUCCUUACUUUUUUGAUUUUUUUUGAUUUUUUCUUUAAAUUCUCACGAGCUCUUGUGUUUUUUCUAACGGCUUAUAUUACUCACAUGAGAAUUGGGGUUUGAUCUCUAUCUUAAGAGGAUUGUUAUUGUUUUCAAGUUUUUCUAUUACGGUUUUGCUCGAAAUCCUAUCGACAAUCAACUAAGAACUUCUACAAUAAUGGUGGCCGAUGUUACAGAUCUGCCACGCGUAUUGCAGCUAGGGCGAGAAAUCAGGAGCAGGCGCACCGGCUAAUCAAGGAACCCAAGACCGCUAUAAUCCUAGCCUCUCUUAACGGAUCAAUAAGGAUGGCACAUCCAAACGGCUAGGUUUUCUAUUUCACUCUAUUUUGUUUUUUUUGUCUUUCGGAUUCUGAACUCGAUUUGUUCUCUUUGUUUUUUUUUUGUUUUAUUUAUCGGUUAGUACACAAGUUUUUAGGUCUUUUUCGUUUUUUUUGCUUGCCCAGUCAGCCCGGUUGCAGUGGUGGUACAAGAUUUUGCGUUUUGCAGGAUGAUCUUCCCCUUGCAAUCCACACUAGGUGGAUCGCCUUUUGAUGGUUGACGACAGUGCCUUAUCAUAUUAAUGACUUCGGUCAAACUUUAGUAAUGGGAAUUUAUCGAUGAUGGUGCGCAUUGAUUGAAAAAAAAAAUUAUUUUUUUACUUUUUAUUAAGGGCAAGAAUCCUUAGAACUUCAAGAACUUUCAUCUUAUUACCCAAAUGUAUACGACUUAUUGACAUUAUUCUUUAUGUUAUGAUCUAAUAUAAACUAUGAAAAUUAUGUCACAAA
rnacentral:lncRNA from 1 species